UGCCAGCAGCCGCGGUAAUACGAAGGGGGCAAGCGUUGUUCGGAAUUACUGGGCGUAAAGGGCGCGUAGGCGGAAUAUCAAGUUAGGGGUGAAAGGCCUGGGCUCAACCUAGGAACUGCCUCUAAAACUGAUGAUCUAGAGUUCAGAAGAGGAUGGUGGAAUUCCCAGUGUAGAGGUGAAAUUCGUAGAUAUUGGGAAGAACACCGGUGGCGAAGGCGGCUUCCUGGACCAACACUGACACUGAGGCGCGAAAGCGUGGGGAGCAAACAGGAUUAGAUA
rnacentral:rRNA from 1 species